UUCCAGACUUUAAUGAGUGUAGAUGGUUGCUUUUGUCAUGUUUAAGGUGGUAGAAUGGGUAUUUUUAUGGAGCAUACAGAAGUGGAGAUGUGCAAAACUGCAGUACACUACUGUGCAUAUUUUCAAAACCUACUAGUCGAUGGGUUGACUGAAUGACUAGUCAAGUAAUCGGUCUUAAGGAAGCCCCGUAUAAUUAGGGCUCGGUCCUGAUCGGAUGAGUUUCUUAGGGGGCGUUAACAUAAGAUUAAUUCUUAUGUUAAAAAAAACCCUUGAUGGAAGACAGUGGAAUGGAACUCAGUGGAAAUAUUUUUAACUUGACAUAAUUCACCCAAAAAUGAUAAGAAUCUAAAUUUACUAACCCUCAUGUCAUUUGAAACCUGUAUGACUUUCUUAUGCAGAACACAAAAGGAGAUGUUUUAAUGAAUAAUUGCUUACCAUCUCAUCAGUAAAAUGGCAGUGCAUACCAUGUGACUCCAUCAUAUUCCAAGUCUUCUAAAGGCAUAUGAUAAGUUUUGGUGAGAAACAACUUGAAAUGCAGGUCAUUUUUCAUGGAAAAUCUUGAUGUUGGUUGCACACUCAUAAGUGCUAUAAGAGAAGCUCGUUCACAGUGGAGCGAGUGUUCGGAACGCAUUGUUUUUAGUGGUGUUCCUUUAAAAACACAACACUCUUGGUAAGAUGCUCAAAAAACAACAUAAGAUGUGAUGCGUGUCCGACCUUAUGUGCGUGUCUAUAGCAGUGGUGCUUUUAAGUAGGUAAUUUUAAAGAAAGGGUUUUACAAUGCAAGCUCUCUAUCAGCUAAAGCAAAGCACACUUAUUAAAUAAGUGCCACUAAUAAUAUCAUAGCUAAAGAAACACAUAGGAAAAAAUUCAGAUAAAUGAGUUGGUCUCAGUAAUCUACUCUGUAAUGAUUGCCUAUUGACUGUGUUUUGUUUAUUGUGCAGGCAUGCAUGUAUGUGUAUGUGAGAAUGAUUAAUCAGCCAACGGUUUGGUUCAUUUUCCACCUGCUCUCCCUGUCACUCAAACCUGGCUCACAUAUGUACAGAUUGUCUGUUGAAUGGUCAGGUUGGGCUGUGGCCCGGAGCAGGAACAGGAGCAGGUAGAGCUGCUCGAUAAUUAUUGAUGUCUUAUUUCUCAGCUCUUCACAUGUUGAGCACUGCUCUCUGCUCACCCAGCCAGGCAGGUGAUCACCCUUCAAUGCCUGCUAACCGUCAUGCAGAGCCAUUUGCUUUUUAAAUGCUUCUCUGACAAUUUGCCAGUUUCUCUCUCUCUCUCUGCUCGCUCUCAGUCUCUGCCAUAGUUCUCAGUCUUAUUGUUUGGGUUAUUUCGGCAUCUUCGGUCAUUAUCAUGUCAUAGAACAACAUAUGUCGCUACUUAUAAUAAAAUACAAUUUCAUAGCUAAUUUCACCUGAAUAGCUUAAAAAGUACAUCAGUACUGGUACAACUUUUGCUUGUACUUGGGAGUUAGUUUUCUUUAUUUUAUUUAAAAAAAAUUUUUGGUUAAAUCUCCAAGCCUACGUUUUAAGUAAAUAGACUUUGGGACAUAUUGAACUCAUCCCACACCGUUUGUGCAACAGUCAUAAAUGAUACCUGAAAUCAUCUGGCUUGUUGAGGAGAGCUGUUCUAUUACUUUUCUAAGUGAUCAGACUUGUGAUUUUUCUCUCUGUGGAUGAUAAAAUGGGUGAAAGAAAUUCCACAGAUUUACAUUAAAGGAGGGACCCAAGUCAUAUGUAGUCCAUAAUAAAAAUGUUAAUGUCCAAUUUCAGCAUCUCUGGCUUGUUUCCACCUAAAUUGGUGCAUAGCUAAUCCAGCUGGGGCCUUUAAUCCCCUCAUUAAAAGUACUCCUUUCUUAUCAAAGAAAUGAUACUUCCAGAAAACAAAGACACAGAGGAGGGGUAAAAAUGAGGGGGGGGGUGGUUCUCAUCUGCCAUGUCCUCCAAGCAAGAGAGAUUGUUUGGCUCAGCUUGAGUCUUUCGCUCACAGCAAUCUCGCCCAUCUGUGUGCCUACGUGGAGCUCGAUAGUGGACUGAGAUAUUGAUUGGCGUGAGCCUCACAGGUCGAUGCUCCUGACAGCCUGAAUUACAGUAAUCUGUCAUUAUCGACGGAUGUCUCUUCAGACCUUUUCCAUCUCUCUCUCUCUGUGUCUUUCUCUUCUCUGUCUCUCUGUCUGUUUUUCUUUCAGUCUGAUUCCCUUUAUUUUGAAACUAUCUCUCCCUUUUUUUCCUCUUUAAGCACUUUCGCACCCUCUUUACUCUCUGUCCUGUGCAAAUAAUUGAUGACUGUGAGGGAUGGAUGGCAGGCUAGCAGUGAUUAGAAGAUCCAUGUGCCAGACGAGCUGCUCUCCUGAAAUGAAGCAGGCUGUGGGACAGAAAGGACCCCAGGGAUGCGAGGAAGGAAGUCACAGUAUCUCCUGCUUACCUGUUGAUGGCGUCGCCACAUGCAGUCAUUGCACAGAGAAAGAGAGUGAUUGAGAAACUUUUAUUCAGCAUCGGUGGAUUACCUCCAAAAUUGGAGCCGCUCAUUGGAGAACACAGAAAAACUUGAGAGUGCCCUACUGAGACACAUCCCAGAAUGGAAAAGACAUUCAGAGCAGCCUCUAACUCUCAGUUUGCUUGACAAAACCACGCUCUUUGAUGAGUGGGCUUGCGCAAAAACAUUGUCACUCGUCGCAUCACUGAGUGGAACAUGAAUAAGACUGCCAUGUCUGAGAGAUGGACAGACGUUUUUCGUGAGCUGGAGAGCAAGACCAUCAACUUCGGAGUCUUGGCCAAAGUCGUGGAGUUUGUUUUAUGCCUGCCUGGGACAUCUGCAUCUGUGGAGCGUGUGUUCUCAUUAAUGAAUGCAGCAUCAACACCGGAUAAAUCUUGACUCAAUGUAACAGUCAUGAAGGCCAUGCUUUUCGUACGUCUUGAUUUUGGACUGAACUGCUCUGCAUUUUAUGAUAAACUCUUGAAAGACAAGCGCACUGAGAAAAAUUGCUUCCAGCGAAAAGUACAAGGUGACAACAGUUACAGAUGCGGAUGCACCCUCUACUUCGCAUUGAUCUGCGGCUAGUAGGCUCUUUAGAGAUGCCAAAGGCCUCGCCUUGAAAGUAGACGAGAGUAAACGGCUGCUGUCAGGUGAGGAGUGAAAUAAGAGCUGUCAUGUCGGACAAUUCUCACUUCUCGUGGUGGAUCAGACACCUACAAGGUCAAAGGGAGAUAUCGCAGGAUUCAUGUUCAUGCGCUGUUGCUGAUAAAGUGGAUAUAAAUUCUGUUGUUUUAAAAUGAAAAUAAAUAUGAUGAAAAUACAUUCAAUGUACCUGUUAUUUAAUGUAGCCAAUAAGAUGUGUCUUUCCAUCCAUUUGUAGUUUCAUGAAGACACGUAUUUUAGAUAAUUCAGAAAUAUGCUAAAAAUCACAUAUCCCAUACAGAGAUCAAACUGUGAGAGUGUUGGGAAUAUUCACGUAUAAUUUAUACACAUAAUUAAUUUAUACACAUAAAACAUGAUAUUAAAUAUAAAAUAAAUGAUAUAAAAUGAAAAGAAGAGAACGAAACAUCACGGUUGUUUAAUCCAAUGAGCAUUAAUCUGUGCCGUCAGCAAGUCGUUUCCCAUCAUGCUUGCAGUUUGCACAGCUGGAAAAAUUCAACUGCGCCGCCUGGCUCUUACAACUGUGUGCGCCUCGCUCUCACGAGACAUUUUUGGCAUACGUCACCAUGACAUCACAGCAAGUCAGACAGAUUUCUAACUGGCAUGCACCUGCUGCUGAUCACCGGUGAUCGGUUCUGCGCUGAACUUGCUUAUCUCGA